rnacentral:lncRNA from 10 species
GGACAUAAGAAAACGUUUCCCCGAGGAAAGUCAUUUGAGCCAAAAUCCAAAUACCUAUAAUAAGUGGAAGUUAAGUAAGUGAGGAUGCCAGUGGAGGUGGUUUGCCAAGAACAGCAUGUUCAGUCCUCAGAGUGGGAGAAGGGAUGGCUCAGUAGUGAAAAUGAACAAAGAUUACUAUUAUUGGGACAGAUAAAUUAAGAGGGAAUCACAGGAAAUGACAAUAAUUAUGUGAGUAAAAACCUACUAAAUGCUUUUAAGCAUGGAAGUAACAAGAUAAGAAUUAGGGCUCGAAAAGACUUGCAUGCAGUAAAAAAAAUGAAUUGGAGGGUGUAGAGCAAGAGUGAUUGCAUGGAGAUUCAUUAGGGGGCUUUUGCAGUCUAGUUUUGAGAUGAAGGUGGCUAGAAAUUAGAUUGGAGUGGAUAAUGUACAGAGAAGAAGUCAGAUUCUACAUGGUAAAAUUAGUAGGACAUAGUAGUAAGUAUGAUAGAGGAACUGGGGAAAAGGAAGUGAAGCAAAAGUAAAUAUGAAGAAUAUUCUCAGAUUUUUAACUUAUGCAAAUGAAUAAUUAUGUUACUUACCAAACUGAGGAAUACUGGAGGAGGGCAGAUUUAGGGGGAAGAUCAUGAGAUACGUUUUGGACCCAUUGCAUUAGAGGUGUUUUUGAGAAAACUGAGUCAAGAUAUUAAAGACAUGGUUGGAUUAAAAGGUCAAACAUUAGGUGAUGAUACACAUUUUAGAGUCAUUGGCAUAUGGUUGGAUAGGAAAGCCAUGCAUGUGUGAUAUGUUCCUAAGAAGAGAAUAUUAAAAAGGAAGGAAAAAGAUGGCUGAAACUUGAGGAGCUAAAGGAAAAAGGAAAGGGUCUAAGGUGAAAGUAAAUUUGAUCCAAGUUUUUGAUUGUUUUAAGUUUGGAAGGAUGUAAGCUUGCUAUGAGCAAAGAAUAAAUUAUUGACUUCAGAAACAGUUUCUUUUCCCAGAAGGCGUAUGCUACUUUUUUUGAAAUUCAUUCUUUUUUAGAAAAUACAUAAUGUAUUCCUAGAAUUUUUCCUUUUUAGAGUGUUCAUCAUGAGAGAAAUGUAUAGUCCAUUAAAGUAUAAUCAGAGAUUUAUAAGCUAGAAAAAGGGUCAGAAACACCUUGAUUUUGGACUUCUGGACUCCUGACUGGGAGAGAAUAAAUUGCUGCUGCUCUAAGCCACCCAGCUUAUGGCACUUUUCCUGGCUUCCCUGGGACCCGAUAUAGGCUGAGUUGACGUGACCACGCUUACGUACCAUGCCCACGUUCACAGGGAAAGGUGACACAUCCCUCACAUUGAUCCGCGGGACGUUUUCAAUCAGCAGACCAAACAGAGGCAGGUGGAGGGUGGCUAUCCUUGCCUGAUGACUCUGAAAAGAAGACAUACAUGGUAAGUUUGGCCCAGGAUUCUGAGAACCGAACUAAGUUGGCGCUGACCAUCUCCUUUAUUUGGAUCCUUCCUAUAAAGACAGAUAUUUGAUUUUAGUCCCAAAACAGAGCAAAAUCUUAGUGCUGUUACCAUGAAUUUUCUAACUGAUUACUUUCUUUACACCACUUAAAAUAAAGGACAUUAUUAAUGCACAUUCCUUCCAUUGGGGACCACUCACCCUUGAAGCAUAUCUGUCAUCAAAAGAAUGCUUUAUCAGCAGGUUCUUGAGCACACUGAUGGCGAUCAGAUGGAACUCCUGGAGGGCUGUCCCCACCUCCCUCAGUAACAGUCCCACCAAGAAGUGGUUUCUGCAGAACUCAUCUGUUAAUGAGUAGUCAAGCUGGAGGUCUGAAAUGAGGAUAGAAACUACUUGAGUUAGGAAAGAUGCAAUGCUCUUUGAAUAAAAAAAAAAAAAAAAAACUAAGACCCAUCCUCUGCAUUCAGCCCAACCUGGGUGUCAAGAGAUGAUCAGACUUGGCUUCAAAUGAGAAAGGAUCAAUUCUACAAGGCUGCUCUACUUCUUAGCAUGUGAGGAUCUUAAAUGAAAACCAAAUUUAAAUACAAUUAAGUGCACUGGAUUUUGGAACAUAUUGCAUCCUACAUAAUUAAAUUAGUGAACAGUUUAAGCACCAAUUUUUAGACUAGAGCACAGCAUAUGUUACAUUACAAAUACAAGUUUGUUAUCGACAAAGUUAAAAACGUUAUUAUACUGGCUAACAGAACUGUAUAAGAGCAGUUUGUGCAUAACAAACAUGUAAUUAAAUAAUAAACAUACAUGGCUUAUUAAAAUGGUAUUACAUGAAAAAAAAAAGAAAAAGGGUCAGAAAAAGAGUAAUCUGGAAACAGUAGGAAAACCAGAUUGUGAUGUCAUUGAUGCAAAUGGAAAGAAAGAUUUCCCGGAAAGAAGAAGGGGACAAUAUUAUUGAGUGAUGCUGAGGGGUCACGUAAAGUGAUCAUUAAAUACAGUCAUUUAAUGGCAAAGCAAUCAUCAAGGAUUAUUUUGGUAGAGUUUUAAGAAUGGAAGCCAAAUGUUAAUGACUGAGGAGUAAAUGAAAAGUGAAAAAAUUGAAACUAUGGGUGUAAGCUAUAAUUCUGAGAGACCAAUGAAGAAGAGGAAAGGGUCUAAGGUGAAAGUAAGUUUGAUUGAAAUUUUUGAUUAUUUUAAGUUGGGAAGGAUGUACGCUUGCUAUGAGCAAAGAAUAAAUUAUUGACUUCAGAAACAGUUUAUUUUCC